ACACACCGGCGUCCAAAUCUUGCCUCUGGCAUUUCCCUGUACGUUAGCGAUGACCGCGAGGUAGCAACGUGUGUGUCACCAUUCCGUGCUGGGUCCUCUGAUCAAGGAGCGCGGAUGGU
rnacentral:ncRNA from 1 species